rnacentral:rRNA from 1 species
AUUGAACGCUGGCGGCGUGCCUUACACAUGCAAGUCGAACGAGAACGGGACUUCGGUCCUUAGUAUAGUGGCGCACGGGUGAGUAACGCGUGGAUAAUCUACCUUCAAGAUUGGGAUAACGGUUGGAAACGAUCGCUAAUACCAAAUAAGCUCACGAUAAAUAAUUUGUGAGAAAAGAUGGCCUCUAUACUAUGCUAUUGCUUGAUGAUGAGUCCGCGUCCCAUUAGCUAGUUGGUAGGGUAAAGGCCUACCAAGGCAACGAUGGGUAACUGGUCUGAGAGGAUGAUCAGUCACACUGGAACUGAAACACGGUCCAGACUCCUACGGGAGGCAGCAGUGGGGAAUAUUGCGCAAUGGACGAAAGUCUGACGCAGCGACGCCGCGUGAGGGAUGAAGGUCUUCGGAUCGUAAACCUCUGUCAGAGGGGAAGAAAUUACAGGGUGCUAAUCAGCCUUGUAUUGACGGUACCCCCAAAGGAAGGACCGGCUAACUCCGUGCCAGCAGCCGCGGUAAUAC